rnacentral:rRNA from 1 species
AUACGUAGGGGGCGAGCGUUGUCCGGAAUGAUUGGGCGUAAAGGGCGCGUAGGCGGCCCGGUAAGUCUGGAGUGAAAGUCCUGUUUUUAAGAUGGGAAUUGCUUUGGAUACUGUCGGGCUUGAGUGCAGGAGAGGUAAGUGGAAUUCCCAGUGUAGCGGUGAAAUGCGUAGAGAUUGGGAGGAACACCAGUGGCGAAGGCGACUUACUGGAAUGUAACUGACGAUGAGGCGCGAAAGUGUUGGGAGCAAACAGGAUUAGAUACCCUGGUAGUACACACUGUAAACGAUGAAUGCUAGGUGUAGGGGGUAUCGACCCCUUCUGUGCCGCAGUCAACACAAUAGGCAUGACGCCUGGGGAGUACGGCCGCAAGGUUGAACCUCAAAUGAAUUGACGGGG